AUUAGACGAAUCAUCUGGAAAGAUGAAUCAAAGAAGGUAAUAAUCCUGUAGUCGAAAAUGUUGUCUCUCUUGAGUGGAUCCUGAGUACGACGGAGCACGUGAAAUUCCGUCGGAAUCUGGGAGGACCAUCUCCUAAGGCUAAAUACUCUCUAGUGACCGAUAGUGAACCAGUACCGUGAGGGAAAGGUGAAAAGCACCCCGGAAGGGGAGUGAAAUAGAACCUGAAACCGUGUGCUUACAAGUAGUCAGAGCCCGUUAAUGGGUGAUGGCGUGCCUUUUGUAGAAUGAACCGGCGAGUUACGAUUUGAUGCAAGGUUAAGCAGUAAAUGUGGAGCCGUAGCGAAAGCGAGUCUGAAUAGGGCGUUUAGUAUUUGGUCGUAGACCCGAAACCAGGUGAUCUACCCUUGGUCAGGUUGAAGUUCAGGUAACACUGAAUGGAGGACCGAACCGACUUACGUUGAAAAGUGAGCGGAUGAACUGAGGGUAGCGGAGAAAUUCCAAUCGAACCUGGAGAUAGCUGGUUCUCUCCGAAAUAGCUUUAGGGCUAGCCUCAAGUGAUGAUUAUUGGAGGUAGAGCACUGUUUGGACGAGGGGCCCCUCUCGGGUUACCGAAUUCAGACAAACUCCGAAUGCCAAUUAAUUUAACUUGGGAGUCAGAACAUGGGUGAUAAGGUCCGUGUUCGAAAGGGAAACAGCCCAGACCACCAGCUAAGGUCCCAAAAUAUAUGUUAAGUGGAAAAGGAUGUGGCGUUGCCCAGACAACUAGGAUGUUGGCUUAGAAGCAGCCAUCAUUUAAAGAGUGCGUAAUAGCUCACUAGUCGAGUGACACUGCGCCGAAAAUGUACCGGGGCUAAACAUAUUACCGAAGCUGUGGAUUGUCCUUUGGACAAUGGUAGGAGAGCGUUCUAAGGGCGUUGAAGCAUGAUCGUAAGGACAUGUGGAGCGCUUAGAAGUGAGAAUGCCGGUGUGAGUAGCGAAAGACGGGUGAGAAUCCCGUCCACCGAUUGACUAAGGUUUCCAGAGGAAGGCUCGUCCGCUCUGGGUUAGUCGGGUCCUAAGCUGAGGCCGACAGGCGUAGGCGAUGGAUAACAGGUUGAUAUUCCUGUACCACCUAUAAUCGUUUUAAUCGAUGGGGGGACGCAGUAGGAUAGGCGAAGCGUGCGAUUGGA
rnacentral:rRNA from 1 species